AUACGGAAGGUCCGGGCGUUAUCCGGAUUUAUUGGGUUUAAAGGGAGCGCAGGCGGAGCUGCAAGCGUGACGUCAAAUUUCGGGGCUCAACCCCGUCUCGCGUCGCGAACUGCGUCCCUUGGUUGCGGGAAGGGGAGGCGGAACUCGUGGUGUAGCGGGUACAUGCAUAGAUAUCACGAAGAACUCCGAUCGCGAAGGCAGCCUUCCGGCCCGUCAACGACGCUCAUGCUCGAAGGUGCGGGUAUCAAACAGGAUUAGAUACCCUGGUAGUCCGCACAGUAAACGAUGGACACCCGCGGUUUGGCCUAUAUGGCUGAGCCGCCAAGCGAAAGCGUUAAGUGUCCCACCUGGGGAGUACGCCGGCAACGGUGAAACUCAAAGGAAUUGGCGGGG
rnacentral:rRNA from 1 species